rnacentral:rRNA from 1 species
CAAUAGCGUAUAUUAAAGUUGUUGCAGUUAAAAAGCUCGUAGUUGGAUUUCUGGUUGAAGCGACCGGUCGGGCGUUGAUUCGUCUGCACUGGAGUCGGUUUUGGCCAUCCUCUAGGAAAGUGCGUCUGGUAUUAAGUUAUCGGGCGUAUGAUCCUGGUCUUUUACUGUGAAAAAAUUAGAGUGUUCAAAGCAGGCGAUUGCUUGAAUACAUUAGCAUGGAAUAAUGGAAUAGGACUUUGGUUCUAUUUUGUUGGUUUCUAGGACCGAAGUAAUGAUUAAUAGGGACAGUUGGGGGCAUUAGUAUUUAAUUGUCAGAGGUGAAAUUCUUGGAUUUAUGAAAGACUAACUACUGCGAAAGCAUUUGCCAAGGAUGUUUUCAUUAA